UGUGUGUGUGUAUAUAUAUAUAUAUAUAUAUAUAUAUGUAUAUAUAUAUAUCAUAAUGCACUGUAUUGCUUAAUAAAUUUUUAUCUUUUUAUAAAGCCAAAACAUAUGGAGAUUAAAUGGAAAAUACAAAAGAGAAAGAAACCAAAUUUGCUCAAAAUCGCAAAAUGUCACAUAAUCACAUGAGAGACUCUCCUGUGUCUAUUCAAGUUAAAGAAGCACUAUCAAUAUAUUUGAUAAGGACUACAAUGUUUUAUUGACUGAGAGGGGCUCAGGGGAUCCUGUCUGUUUCUCAAAGGAGGCUCAGAGCACUCUGCUUCAUGC
rnacentral:lncRNA from 1 species